GUGCUGAAGCGACAAAUGCCCUGCUUCCAGGAAAAGCCUCUAAGCAUCAGGUAACAUCAAAUCGUACCCCAAACCGACACAGGUGGUCAGGUAGAGAAUACCAAGGCGCUUGAGAGAACUCGGGUGAAGGAACUAGGCAAAAUGGUGCCGUAACUUCGGGAGAAGGCACGCUGAUAUGUAGGUGAAGCGACUUGCUCGUGGAGCUGAAAUCAGUCGAAGAUACCAGCUGGCUGCAACUGUUUAUUAAAAACACAGCACUGUGCAAACACGAAAGUGGACGUAUACGGUGUGACGCCUGCCCGGUGCCGGAAGGUUAAUUGAUGGGGUUAGCGGUAACGCGAAGCUCUUGAUCGAAGCCCCGGUAAACGGCGGCCGUAACUAUAACGGUCCUAAGGUAGCGAAAUUCCUUGUCGGGUAAGUUCCGACCUGCACGAAUGGCGUAAUGAUGGCCAGGCUGUCUCCACCCGAGACUCAGUGAAAUUGAACUCGCUGUGAAGAUGCAGUGUACCCGCGGCAAGACGGAAAGACCCCGUGAACCUUUACUAUAGCUUGACACUGAACAUUGAGCCUUGAUGUGUAGGAUAGGUGGGAGGCUUUGAAGUGUGGACGCCAGUCUGCAUGGAGCCGACCUUGAAAUACCACCCUUUAAUGUUUGAUGUUCUAACGUUGGCCCGUAAUCCGGGUUGCGGACAGUGUCUGGUGGGUAGUUUGACUGGGGCGGUCUCCUCCUAAAGAGUAACGGAGGAGCACGAAGGUUGGCUAAUCCUGGUCGGACAUCAGGAGGUUAGUGCAAUGGCAUAAGCCAGCUUGACUGCGAGCGUGACGGCGCGAGCAGGUGCGAAAGCAGGUCAUAGUGAUCCGGUGGUUCUGAAUGGAAGGGCCAUCGCUCAACGGAUAAAAGGUACUCCGGGGAUAACAGGCUGAUACCGCCCAAGAGUUCAUAUCGACGGCGGUGUUUGGCACCUCGAUGUCGGCUCAUCACAUCCUGGGGCUGAAGUAGGUCCCAAGGGUAUGGCUGUUCGCCAUUUAAAGUGGUACGCGAGCUGGGUUUAGAACGUCGUGAGACAGUUCGGUCCCUAUCUGCCGUGGGCGCUGGAGAACUGAGGGGGGCUGCUCCUAGUACGAGAGGACCGGAGUGGACGCAUCACUGGUGUUCGGGUUGUCAUGCCAAUGGCACUGCCCGGUAGCUAAAUGCGGAAGAGAUAAGUGCUGAAAGCAUCUAAGCACGAAACUUGCCCCGAGAUGAGUUCUCCCUGAGACUUAGAGUCUCCUGAAGGAACGUUGAAGACGACGACGUUGAUAGGCCGGGUGUGUAAGCGCAGCGAUGCGUUGAGCUAACCGGUACUAAUGAACCGUGAGGCUUAACCUUACAACGCCGAAG
rnacentral:rRNA from 1 species